rnacentral:rRNA from 1 species
AGAGUUUGAUCCUGGCUCAGAUUGAACGCUGGCGGCAUGCCUUACACAUGCAAGUCGAACGGUAGAGGGGCAACCCUUGAGAGUGGCGAACGGGUGAGUAAUAUAUCGGAACGUGCCCAGUCGUGGGGGAUAACGCAGCGAAAGCUGCGCUAAUACCGCAUACGAUCUAAGGAUGAAAGCGGGGGAUCGCAAGACCUCGCGCGAUUGGAGCGGCCGAUAUCAGAUUAGGUAGUUGGUGGGGUAAAAGCCCACCAAGCCGACGAUCUGUAGCUGGUCUGAGAGGACGACCAGCCACACUGGGACUGAGACACGGCCCAGACUCCUACGGGAGGCAGCAGUGGGGAAUUUUGGACAAUGGGCGCAAGCCUGAUCCAGCAAUGCCGCGUGCAGGACGAAGGCCUUCGGGUUGUAAACUGCUUUUGUACGGAGCGAAACGGUCUGGGUUAAUACCCUNNNNNANUGACGGUACCGUAAGAAUAAGCACCGGCNNNCNNNNNNNNNNCCGCCGCGGUAAUAC